rnacentral:lncRNA from 1 species
AAGAGACCUUCUUCCUCUCGAAAUUUUAUUGAUGAUGAUUGUUGGUAUUGUUGUUGUUGUAGGUGUUUGUGCGUUGCUAUGGUUGUUGUUGUUGACGUUGUUAUUAUUGAAUUGGUACUGAUUGAUUAUUCAAAAAUACUAGAAUUACUGAAGAUACUUGAUGAUGAUGUUGACGGGAUGGUUGACUCUUUCAGAUCUGAGGCCUCCCCUGCCUCGCACUAGAAAUUGCAUUAGCUUCGCUAUCUUUCUUCUUUCCAAAG